rnacentral:rRNA from 1 species
GAUGAACGCUGGCGGUCUGCUUAACACAUGCAAGUCGAACGGGCUCUUCGGAGCUAGUGGCGGACGGGUGAGUAACGCGUGAGGAUCUGCCCUUAGGACGGGGACAACAGCUGGAAACGGCUGCUAAUACCCGAUGUGCCGAGAGGUGAAACUAUUUGGCCUGAGGAUGAGCUCGCGUCUGAUUAGCUAGUUGGAGUGGUAACGGCACACCAAGGCGACGAUCAGUAGCUGGUCUGAGAGGAUGAUCAGCCACACUGGGACUGAGACACGGCCCAGACUCCUACGGGAGGCAGCAGUGGGGAAUUUUCCGCAAUGGGCGAAAGCCUGACGGAGCAAGACCGCGUGCGGGAGGAAGGUCUAUUGAUUGUAAACCGCUUUUGAUAGGGAAGAAGAUCUGACGGUACCUAUCGAAUCAGCAUCGGCUAACUCCGUGCCAGCAGCCGCGGUAAUACGGGGGAUGCAAGCGUUAUCCGGAAUUAUUGGGCGUAAAGCGUCCGUAGGUGGUUUUAAAAGUCUGUUGUCAAAUCGCGAGGCUUAACCUCGUACAGGCAGUGGAAACUAUAAGACUAGAGUGCGGUAGGGGUAGAGGGAAUUUCCAGUGUAGCGGUGAAAUGCGUAGAUAUUGGAAAGAACACCGGUGGCGAAGGCGCCCUACUGGGCCUGCACUGACACUGAGGGACGAAAGCUAGGGGAGCGAAAGGGAUUGGAUACCCCUGUAGUCCUAGCCGUAAACGAUGGAAACUAGGUGUUGCCCG